GUGGGGAAUAUUGGACAAUGGGCGAAAGCCUGAUCCAGCCAUGCCGCGUGUGUGAAGAAGGUCUUCGGAUUGUAAAGCACUUUAAGUUGGGAGGAAGGGCAGUAAGUUAAUACCUUGCUGUUUUGACGUUACCGACAGAAUAAGCACCGGCUAACUUCGUGCCAGCAGCCGCGGUAAUACGAAGGGUGCAAGCGUUAAUCGGAAUUACUGGGCGUAAAGCGCGCGUAGGUGGUUUUGUAAGUUGGAGGUGAAAUCCCCGGGCUCAACCUGGGAACUGCCUCCAAAACUGCAUUACUAGAGUACGGUAGAGGGUAGUGGAAUUUCCUGUGUAGCGGUGAAAUGCGUAGAUAUAGGAAGGAACACCAGUGGCGAAUGCGACUACCUGGACUGAUACUGACACUGAGGUGCGAAAGCGUGGGGAGCAAACAGGAUUAGAAACCCUGGUAGUCC
rnacentral:rRNA from 1 species